AGUGCUUCCAGGUUGAGCUAUCAGUCAGCUCAGACAACUCAACAAGUGUUCAACAAGCACCCAACAAAUCCACCCACCUCAAAAUGUUCAAAUACAUCUUCGUCCUGCUGGCUCUGGUCGCCGCCGCCUUCGCCUCGCCUAAGCCCCAGUACUUCUACCCAGGAUCGGCUUCGUACGCCACGUACAGCAGCUUUGCCAAGCCUGCUGCGGCCGUGUACUCGACCGGAUACGUGCCCACCGCCUACUCCUCGUCGUACAUCGCCCCGGCCGCGUACAGUGCUGCUGCCUACCCGGCCUACGCUUACUUGUGAGCGGAAACCAACGAUGAUGAUCGACGCCUACUUUGAUGAUACCGGACUAGUACGACACAAAGAACGAUUUUGGACGUUAUACGAAUCAAGGCACCAAUAAAUGCUGGAAAUCUA